AACGAGGCCGACCUGCGGCUGAGUUACCUGCGGAAGGAUCAUUAUUGAAUAAAUUUGGUUGGGUUGUUGCUGGCUCUUAGGAGCAUGUGCACGCUCAUUCCAUCUUUAACCACCUGUGCACCUUGUGUAGAUCUGAACAACUCUCGGGGAAACUCGGUUAGAGGAUUGCUGCGUGUAAAAGCCGGCUUUCCUUGCGUUCAGAUCUAUGUCUUUAUAUACUCCAUAAGAAUGUAUUAGAAU
rnacentral:misc_RNA from 1 species